CCCAGGCUUCUUCCACAAACACAGCUGGGGAGGGCUGCUUAAUGCAGUGUCCAUUAAGGUUAACGGGCACUUCCAAUAGGGUUUUUUCACGUUUCCCUUGACCAAGUUCAACUCACACUUCAUCCAGACAGCACUUCUCCUUCCUGCCGCCAUGUGAAGAAAGAUGUGCUUGCUUCCCCUUCUGCUAUGAUCAUAAGUUUCUUGAGGCCUCCCCAGCCCUGCAGAACAUCUCACUCUGUUGCCCAGCCUGGAUUGCAGUGACAUGAUCACAGCUCACUACAACCUCAACCUCCCUGGGAUCAAGCUAUCCUCCCAUCUUAGCUUCCCAAGUCAUUGGGACUACAGGGAAUGUGCCGCUGUGCCCAGCCAAACUGGAUCUUCAUGUUUUCAGCUUUGGAGCUUCAAUCGAACUUUUGAGACAAGAAGAGGAAAGACAAGAAAAGUGUCUUCUUCACAAUUUUAUUAUUUUGGUGUCAAAGAUUCCAGUUGAUUAUCCCUUUCUAUCUCCAAAGUCUGGCAAACCCUACUUACCUCCCCAACUGCUUUCGAAAGCAUAAACAAAAUAAAAUAACAUCAUCAAAGAUUCCAGAAGAUUGGGAAAGGUGUGGAAGGUAGUGAUUAAAGUAUAGUUGUAAGGGCCCUUUGACAUCAAUUUUAUUCUCUCAGGGGGCUUAAAGUGUUUCUUUUCUGCUUCCUUUACUACAAAGAUAUUUCACUCAAACUCUAUCUUGUUAUAGACUCUUGAAAACUGGGGAUAUGGUUUCUAGCCUUGUAAUUUGUGUAAUAAAAUGUCAGUCAUAAAAACCACUGGGAAUCUGGGACAUU
rnacentral:lncRNA from 1 species